GCAAAGUUUGGGUGGUGGCACCAACCUGGGAGUGGGGACAGUGACUGGCUGAGUGUGGGAAGGCUCCAGAGAGUCCCUCUUUGGCUCAGAAGGAUCAAUAACAUUUAUUUGCGAGUGUUUAGAGCAGAUUAUUUGCAUUUGUGAAGCUAAUGAAAAAACUAUUGAAUUUUAAUUAGCAUUUUCUGGCUCUUCUGGGAGAACUCCGGAUUUGAUCCGUGGAUAUUCGCAGUAUAUUCCAGGCAAAAUUCAGGAUAAUUUUGGGUGUUCUGCCAUUACAAAACCACCACAAAAUCAACACAGAUUUCCAUAAACUGCCCCCCUACCACGAGUUCUUGCAGGAACAUAAUGACAGGUCUAUUGUGCUCAGAAUUGUUUUGUCAUUUCACAUUCCUGGGAACUGCUGAGAAGAGAAAUUAAAUAAAUAAAAUGACCAAUUUGCUCCUAUGAAACCGGGCCUCAGCUGGGAAAAUGAAUUUUUUUUUUAGAUAAAUAGAUCAGCUUUCUCUCUGCUCCAGGCUCCAGAAUAAAUAGUUGUGCUAAAUAUCCAUGUAAAUGUUUCCCAUAGAAAAAUACACAACGGGAACUGAUGAAAAAUACUGGGAGUCAGAGUGGUCACAAAAUGUGGGAUUGCUUUUCAUCCAGGGAAAGUGGACGUGCCCUCCACGGGAUUUUCAGGUGGAAAGGGAGGGUGGAAUAAAACACGGAGGUUUUAAAGGAGAUGUGAAUAAACCCCUCAGGAAGGUGGUUGUGUUCAUGGAAAACUGGAAUUCCUCCAUUGCACAGAGUGGUGUUUGUGUUUGGGCAGAGCUGAGAUUCCUUAACUGGCAUUUCCCUCUUUUAUGUGGAGGGAAUUAUAUAUUUUUAUAUAUUAAUAAUAUAUAUAUAAAUUAUAUUUCCCAUUUAUAUCUUUAGGUGUUUGAGUUUUUGGACUCUCUCUGCUCCGUUUCAAUCCUCGUGUUCCACAGAGGGACUGGAAUUCCAUAAACAUCCCGGCCGAGGUUCUGGGCCUGGCUGAUGCUUCUCCCUUGGAAAGCUCCUUGGGAACUCAUCUCGACCUGGAUUUUUGUGCUGAGAAGCAGCAGCACAGGAAAUGUGGCCAUUCCAGCCCCAUCCCUCCUGUCAGAGACAGGGAUUUAAUCCUGGCUGAUGGACAAGAUUCCAGGCUUCAACGUGCCCAAGGAUUUGGAAAGAGCACUAAGGAGUAAGAAACCCUUUUCCAUUUUACCAGCACAAUAUUCCAGACCUGAAAACCCCAGAGGUUCCUGAACAUUUUAGUGACUUUUUCCAGCACCUUUCCUGAGAUUCUCCUUGGAAGGCGUUUUUGUUUCCCUUUAGGAACCUGAAGCUCAGCAAAGCCCCAAAUAAAGGA